UGAUGAAAAUAACACCAAAACUAAAUUAAAAUAAAAUUCAAAAUAUAUUUUUCUAAAAAUAAUAAAGAAUCAACUGAAAAUGUAAUUAAUUCUAGUUAUUUUUUAUGAAUGUUUUGACUAAAAAAUAAAAAUAAAAUAAUUCAAAAUGAAUAAAAAACGGGCGCAAAAGUACCCAGAAAAUUAAAAUGAAUGCACCAUAAUGAUCGGUGUGAAAUAAACUUCUCAAAAUCAUACAGGUUGUUGUUA
rnacentral:lncRNA from 1 species